CCGAUUUUUUUAUUCUUGGAGGUUGUUGUGGACAAUCAAAGCACUAUACAACUCAUCUGUUAGACAAGGUUUAUCUUUGUACAAAGGACACAACCACCACCUUGAAUUUAUCCACAGCACUGAGGGCAGUGAGGCCUGUUUAUCAAACUUUUCACAUGUUCCAGGAGGACUAUUUUAUACACAUAAGUGACAUUGUUUUCUGUUGAUCGUGCUGCUAUAAAAUUGUCAAUAUGUCCAUGCCGAUGGCACAGAGACUUUUUUUGGGAUAUAUUGGCGGGACUAUUCAACAAAGUGUGGAUUCAAAGAUCGUCCUGCUAACAUUAAGGCAAAACUCCAAAAGGCGAAAAGCUGAUAGUGAUGGAGGAACCACACUAACCCUAUCAUAGGAAUACUGACUUUUGUAAUGACAACUAAUUCCAAAAGGGUCAGGUCUCUGCAAGCAGUGUUUUACCAAGAUUAGACAAACAGUAGCUGAUGGAGGAAUCAUAGUUGAUACAAAAAAGAUUAUGAUGGAGAUGAAAGCCAAAUUAAA